UCGAGCAUCAGGGGUUAUUCAAAGGAGAGGUGAGACUUUAAGACACUUCACAAAAGAGUUUCUGAGGUGAAGAUUGAGAACAGAGAAGGGCUUUCCAUCUUAAACUAGGGAGGUUCAACCUGUGAGUCCUCUCGUUAAACUCUCCAUGAAAGAGAUUUGGUGGGAUGUGGGGAGGAGAGAACACAUCAACACGACCAGGCUCUCUCAUCUCAGUGACACAUUCAGAUCUGCAUUUCCCUUCAGUGGAAGUAAAUCCCACUGAAAUCAGAGGAACUAGCUUCUGAGUAGGCCUGGUUAGAGCUGGGGGAUAUUUCAGUAUCAUUUGACAUUUGAUGUCUUUACUGGAUAUUAAGAAGUUGAUGAAUAGUUAGCCUUUCUUUGAAGUCUUCUUUGUCAAAAGCAGCAAAGAGAUGAGAAGCAAUUCCGCCAACAAUAAGAUGACCACGUUGGUAGUAUUCAUGUGGAAUUCUGGACAGAUCAUGGACGGUACAAUUCGUGGUAUGUUUGCACACCAUAAGUGGCAGAUGAAAGAGAAGGGGCACAAUAAACAGCAGCAUACUGAAGCAAAUAUUAUUCUCAUCAAACAAUCUUAUUUCCAUCCAGCACAUGAACCUUCCUUCACAACUAACCUCAGUACAAUAUUCUGCCUUAUCACGAACAGCACUUCUCUAACAAUUCACAGAUUUAAAUCCUAUUUUACAACUUGAUUAAGAAAAUAGUUAAAAUCCUUCCUCUCCUCUCCCUUGUAAAGAAUGGCAAGAAGAGGUUAUAAUACCCAUGUUUUGACAUUGGUUAGUAUUCUCUGGAAAUCUACUGAGACAUUAUCCAAGGGAGACAUAGACAUGCUGAGAGUGAUAAUUAUAGGUGAGAUAAUAACAAGCUCUCUUUACAUCAGGAACAUCUGAAAAUGCCCAAUAAUAAUAAUAAUAACCCUGUUUCUGAUGUUUCAUUCAAAGUUCUUUCUGACUGUUUUAUGGCUCAACAAUAGGGCAUGCAGAAUUAACAGCAAUGAAAAGAGAAGAACAGUGGGCCAGUCUCUUAUCAGUGUCAACCAGUGGAAAAGAUUAAUCUGACCUCCUAAAAUUUCCCACCUGAACACCAGUUGAUUAGUUUUCUGACAAUUAUACUGAGAUGAAAUAAUGGUGAAAAGGACAGAGUUUUGUAGGUGGUUUCGUUGGAAGCACGAAAAAAUAGGAAUCAAAAAAGGAGAAUGCUCUGGAUGCCAAGAUCCGGGUUGAGGGCACAAACUCUUGGUUGAGAGAUUCCCACAAACAACUAUUUAUGUUCCUGAUAGAAAAGCCCCUCACUACUAGUUGGAGGGAGUAAUAUAUAAAAGUAAUAACUAAAAAGUAGUGAAUGGUGGUAUUAUAUUUUCUAAUAAAAUGGAGCUUAAUUUCACUCAAGUUCAAAAUGCUUUUACUUCAAAAUAUUCAUUCAGAAGCAUUCUGCCCUAUCUUAUAACUAUAAACCCAUUAAAAAUACCAAAAUUGUUAUUCAUUGAAUUCUAAGUUUAAAAACCCCUCCAGGAAUGGUCUAGCAUAUAUUGCCCAUAACCAUGGGCAUCCCCCACUGCACACGAAUAAUAACUAAAUACUUAAUUAAUACCCAGAUAUGGAGGGAGAGAGCUGGAGAGUUCUCAUGGCUUGUGAGGGCUGAGACUGGAGGUGCAGCAGUGGCUUGUUUAUGCUGCUCAGCCCCACCUGACAGCUAAUAUGCAUAGAAGAGCAGCAGAACCAGCAACAUUUCCACACAUCCUCCAGUCAGCUCCCAAAAUAACAGAUGUGGGUAUUUUAGGUGCAAUAUUCUUGAUUUGGGAUGGAGAGAGAGAAGUAUAGAAGACAUUCAAAGGAUUUAGAUGGUGCUUCCCACUUAUCAAAUCUUCAUUUAUGGGUGGGCACUUGAACAUAACCCCAAGUAAGUGGGCACUCACUGUUCUGAAAUCUCUGAGACAGUAGCAACUCUACUGAAACCUUACUGAGAGGAAAAUAACCUAGAAAGGAUCAAGCUUUAAAAAAAAAAUGCCUCUCAGUGUAUUGGUUUUUUUGUUCAGUUUCUAAUCAAUUGCCCUUUGAGGUUCUAGUCAGGCCCCAAUAUUUUGUGGUACUCAUAACAGUUUCUUGGUUUUCCAGAUAAGCCUUAGGUUUAAAACAAGAUCAGGGGCUCCUAGCUCAGAGGGACCACAGUGAAUUUUGUUAAAGAAAUUGCACAUAGCAAUUGCAACACAUAAAAUACAAGAUAAUUUAAUGAUGUCGAUAAAGAGAAUUAUAUUGCUCAUAUUUUGGUAGAAAAAACCCACGAAAAUGAUAGGAUUUUUUAUUGCUCCUUGCUGUUCAGAUCAGGCCUCAACACAAUGAUGUAGCAUUUUGGGAAAAAGAUAGAACCCAAUAUGCCAGCACUGGAGGCCAAGAUGGAGAAGAUCUCCACAGCGACCAUGUAUUUCCCCUUGGUGCUCAGGUAGACUGGAACAAACGAGAUCCAAACACUACAAAACAAGAACAUGCUGAAGGUGAUGAAUUUGGCCUCAUUGAAGCUCUCAGGAAGUUUCCUAGCAAAAAAGGCCACAACAAAGCUGAAAAUGGCCAAAAAGCCCAUGUAGCCCAGGACACAGUAAAACAGGGCAACUGACCCUUCGUUGCAGCCUAAAAUGAUUUCCCUCAUCACAGAGUGCAUGUCAGAAUCAGGGAAUGGGGGAGAGAUUUCUAACCACACAAUGCAAAUGGCAGCUUGGAUAAGCGAACAAGAAAUCACAAUGAUGCUUGCCAGUCUUUUCCCCACCCAUUUUCUCAUUCUAGAUCCUGGUUUGGUGGCCACAAAGGCCAGAACCACCGUGAUCGUUUUGGCCAGAACACAAGAAACAGUCACUGUGAAAACAAGGCCAAAAGCCAUUUGUCGGAGCAGGCAGCUCACUCUUUCUGGAGGGCUGAGGAAGAUCAAUGGGCAGAGGGAGCAGAGCAGGAGGGAAGUGAGGAGAGUGUAGGUGAGGUCCCGAUUGUUUGCUCUGACAAGUGGUGUGUCCUGAUGUUUAAUGAAGAUGGCUAGGACCACCACUGUGAGGAGAGAGAGGGACAGAGCAAACAUUGCUAAGCUCAUCCCCAGGGGCUCUUUAAAAGACAGGAAGGUGAUGGUCUUUGGAAUACAUUGUGUUUGAUCUCUGUUUGGAUAGUGGUCUUCAGGGCACCCAACACAAUCUUCCAUGUCUGGAAAGAAAACAAUACUUUCAGAUUUCAGAUGUGUUGGAGAGCAACUACUAACGGUGUCAGUAUGGAACUCAUAAGGUUAAAUUACAAUUUUUGCAGGUAUUUCCAGACAAACCUGAGUGUAAGUGUGAAUGAAUGAGAAUCCCAGCUUAGCACUCUGUUCUGGGCCAUUCAGCAUACCCUGUGAUGUCACACUAACCCCCCAGUUUAGAUGGAUAAGGGUGGUAACUACAAAUAAAUAUCAUGCUUGUCUUAAUUACUCAAGUGUGGUACAUUAUUGGAAUCAAUCCAUCAAAUCAUGUUUUGCUAGACAGGCACACGAAGCGGCUAAGGUCACAGAACUUUCCUGUAAAUUUUGCUGCCGAGGACUCUGUGAGAUCACUUCCUUUGUUUGCCUUGGCAGGCAGCUAUAACACUACUCCUUCCUGCUUGGGCAUCUCCCUCUUUUUCUUCGUCAUGCCUCAGAUUUUGUACUUUUGUAAUUUAUCAGUUAGAAACCUGCCUUCAUUUUGCUACUGUAACUGCUGCUUCGAAAACUUGAUUAUGUAAAUACUACUUUCAUUUCUUUACAAAACAAAGUGUACAUGAUUGUUCUUUUUAAGGAGGAGAAAAGGGGUAAUAUGAGGGAAAAUCCAGUUUGCCACCAAGCAUCCUGGAUUAUUUCUAGAAGGUUAAAUCAAUGUCAUUUUAGCUUCCAAGUUUAAAGUUGCAAAGGGUGAUACCCUCCUGAUCUCACUCCUGUGAGCAAGGGAUUAUAAUGACUAAAUUAUAUAUCCUCUCCUUGUAGCUAAUUCUAGUCCUACAUUCAGAACAGGAACUAAGGAAGGUGUCUUAUGGCAAGUCGGAUCACUGGCCCAGCUAGCUCAGUAUCGCCUGCCGUACUUUAGCCUCUGACAAAGAUUAGAUCAUGGGUAACUAACCUUUCCUUUUUAAGACAAGGUUCAUUCCUUGGGGGAGAGGCUCUCUGCCAAUAUGGAUCAAGGUGAAAAUUACUUUUGUUGAUAUUUCAGUGGGAAAGUUACCAAAAUGGCACUCUUUGAACCAACACAUGAACCAAAGUAUUGUUACCCUGCAAAAUGUGUACAUCUCCAAAAUUUGUGAUGCAGUUUUCUAAUCAAGUGAUAUGUACAGCAAUGCAACAUAUUCCCAUUUAUCUAUCUAUCUAUCUAUCUAUCUAUCUAUCUAUCUAUCUAUCUAUCUUCUUCCAUGGUUUCUAACAUGACAUUUUAUUUAUUCAUCUAUCUAUUUAUUAAAUUUGCAUACCACCUGUCAGGGAACUGACAUCGGAGCCAGAGGCGGAGGCUAGGCUCUCAAGCGAUGCUGGAGAAGGGCCCAGCAGGGGGAGAGGCGGCUCACCAGCUGGGGAAAGAAAUCAGCGUAACACCAGGGAUAAAGGGGGGCAGAUGGGGAAUCGGCGAGGGGCUCCAGGACUCCUCGCCGGAGAUCAGCGAGGAGAGCACGGGUCCUCCGCUUCCCACGCCCUCCCUGCGCAGAAGGCUUCCGCGCAGGGAGAGUAGGAGGAGACUUGGAGUCAAACAACUUUUAUGCUGGAAAAGGUUUAAGAAACGCCCACUGACGGAUUCUGCUAGCGACUGAACAGCCACGAAGUGCAGGGCUGUCCAGACAGAAAAGGUUUAACAAGGCAACCGAGCCAGGAGUGGCACCAACUUGCGCACGAGCAACCCCUACAUUUAUUACACCACCUUUCACCCAAAAGUAACAUCACUGGCCCACUUAGCUCAGUAUUGCCUGCUGUAUUAUAAACUCUGACAAAUAAUAGAACAUAGGUGACAAAACAUUUCUUUUUAGGUCAAAGUCCAUAUUUUUUUUUAAUGGGGCUGUCUUCCAAUAAGGAUGGAGGAGAAAUUUGGUUUUGUUGCCAUUUGAAUGGGAAAGAUCUAAAUUGCACUCCUUGAACUAACACAUGAACCAAAAGAUAGUUGUCCCGAAAGAUAUGUGCUUAUCUUCAAGCUUGCAAUACAGUUUUCUGAACAAACAAUAUGUACAAAAAUGCACAUAUUACUAAUUAAAGUGGAACCUGGGUUUUAAAAUUUCUCAAUUGACAAAUGUUUUGGAACUCAAAUGCCGAAAACGCGAAAGUAAAUGGCUUCUGUUGAGAUACCACUGUAUUUUUCUCAAUUUUCUCUGUAAAUUUGCAGACCGCCCUUUGUGCCACAGUUUUUGAACGUUUUGGAAGUCAAAUGGUCCUCUGGAAUGGAUUACAAUCGAAAACUAAGGUUCCAUUGUAUUUACUUAACUUUCCCCACAACUGCUAAUAUGACUUAAGUUUGAAAGGUAUAUAUCCGGGGUCAGUCUGGGAUGAAAUCUUGCAUUGAGGAAAUGGAACACCUGACAUUUUAAACAUGACAUUUCAUUUCAUUUUCCUUAUUUUUCUUAUUUACUAAGUUUGUAUACUACCCUUCAUCCGAAGAUCUCAGGGUGAUUCACAGCAUAACAAAUGUUAUAAAAUAAUAUAGCAUGAUAUAUGUUUGAAAAGCACCAUAUAUAUAUAUAUAUAUAUAUAUAUAUAUAUAUAUAUAUAUAUAGUGUCUCCUACCUUUCUGGGAUGAAAUCUUGCCUUGAGGACAUGGGGCACAAUCAUAGCAGCAGAAUGGCUCCCCCUCCUUCUUCUCCUUACUGGAACCAGGAGGGCAACUUGGGUUACAUACAGAAAGGGGUGGAACCUGCCCAUUUAAAUAAACACAUAAACAGUUUAGCACACAGAAAUUAGCUAGAACUAGCAAGCACUGAACAACAUAUUCCAAAAUCAGGGUCAAAUUACCCUUUCUGCUUUCCAUGGUUUUAAAACAGAAUGCUGAAACUGACCAUCUUUGAGCCCCGUUCUGCACAGAAUGCAUGAGGACUCAAUUUGGGAAGAGGAUUGGGGGCUUAUCUUCAUAAGCUCUGCCCCCAUUAUCCCCAUAUACAAAAGGAAUACCUGUUCCACCCCCAAUUUUUCAUUCUUAGCACAUGUAAAAGUUUAUGCCUUCAGGAGAGGACAGUAGUGUAGUGCCAGUUGUUGUUUAGUCAUUUAGUCGUGUCCAACUCUUCGUGACCGCAUGGACCAGAGCACGCCAGGCACUCCUGUCUUCCACUGCCUCCCUCAGCUUGGUCAAACUCAUGUUGGUAGCUUCAAGAACACUGUCCACCCAUCUCAUCCUCUGUUGUCCCCUUAUCCUUGUGCCCUCAAUCUUUCCCAACAUCAGGGUCUUUUCCAGGGAGUCUUCUCUUCUCAUGAGGUGGCCAAAGUAUUGGAGUCUCAGCUUCACGAUCUGUCCUUCCAGUGAGCACUCAGGGCUGAUUUCCUUAAGAAUGGGUAGGUUUGAUCUUCUUGCAGUCCAUGGGACUGUAGUGCCAAUAAUGAUCUAAAAAUGUGGAGAAUGUGUGGAAUGUGGUCUUGUGGUCAGAUCCUGCUUGCAGGUUUCCUACAGACAUCUGGUUGACCAGUUUGAGAACCAGGUUUAUUAUUUAUUUGUUUUCUAUACCUCCUUUCAUCGGAAGAUUGCAGGACAGUUUACAGUACAGUCGUACCUCGGAAGUCGAACAGAUUCAGUUCAGGAAGUCCGUUCGACUUCCAAAACAUUUGGAAACCAAGGAGUGGCUUCUGAUUGGCCGCAGCCAAUCAGAAGCUGCGUAAACUGCGUUGGCUGUUCAGGUUCCAAAGAACAUUCGCAAACCGGAACACUCACUUCCAGGUUUGCGGCGUUCAGGAGUCAAAACGUUCGACUUGCAAGACAUUCGUCAACCAAGGGACGACUGUAUAAAAUAUACAAAAAUGCAGAACACAGUAACAAACAAAGCAAUACCUGCCUCCGCCUCCACCCCUGAUUUAAAAGGCCAUAGACAGUUUAAUCUGCAAAUGGCCUAGGUGAAGAAGAAUAUUUUCAUCUCACACCUAAAGAUAUGUAGGGAAGGGGCCAAACGAGCCUUCCUUGGGAGAGUUGAUUCUCUAUACCUUUGCCCUCAUUUAUUGUUUGAUUCUUCCCCAAUCUAAGAAGCCCCUUUCCUCAUUCCACAGUUGGGGACAAAGAACAGUUGUGCACAAAUUUCUGUGGCCCCUGCUUCCUACUCAACCAUUAGCAUUUGAUCUCCAAGGAACCUUCUUCUUGCCAACAAAGUCAUGAAGUACAUUGAUACAGAAAGAGCCCCAAGCUCCAUGCAUGCCAUAUCCAGAUGCUGGACAAGACUGGCCAUUGGUGUUACCCUGGACUAGAUGGGCCGUGGGUGUGACCCAGCAAGCUCAUCUUAUGUUCCCAUGUAGUGUAGAAGAAAAUGUUUUGAAUACGGCUGGAGAGCCACCUAUGUGCUGGACUAAUGAUCUAUAAGUGCAAGAACAUUCUGUUUUCCUAUCUCUCGUAGGUAUAGGAAUUAUGCCCCACCUGGUAAAAGCUGCUGUGCCACACCAUUCUGUUGUCAUCAAUGGAUGUUUUCUUUCCCGGGGCAGCUUCCACGUCCACCCUUCCAACCUUGACCCUCACAAAGGAGUUAUUUGGGAAAGUGACCAGGUUGGUAAUAUCAAAGCCAGUAUCUACUUCCCCAUUCUCACUAAAAGAUAAAGUUUCUCCAGCAGAGCUGUUAAACGAGACACUUCUAAGGAAGGGAUGGAGCUGCAUUGGAAUAAAAAUAGUAAUUAUGAAUAACGCAAAUCUCUCGCCGUACUGGCACCCAGGAUGCAGGUCGUGCAAUGCAAACAUAAUGCAUUCCUUAGAAAUAAUUCACAAGGUGAGCAUUUUCAUAGGGAGCUAAUGUUUUCCAUUAUUUCCUGGAGGGAAAUCUCAAUGCAUUCCCAACCAAGAAACAAUGAGAAAAAAAUCCAAGGCUUUCAGGUCUUAUUGCCUGGAUAUCUCCCCUCUUUCAAGAGAAUGGUAGGGUAACCAGCCUCAUAUAAUCAGCAUAGGUAAAGGUAAAGGGACCCCUGACCAUUAGGUCCAGUCAUGGCUGACUCUGGGGUUGCGGCGCUCAUCUCGCUUUAUUGGCCGAGGGAGCCGGCGUACAGCUUCCAGGUCAUGUGGCCAGCAUGACUAAGCCACUUCUGGCAAACCAGAGCAGCGCACGGAAACACUGUUUACUUUCCCGCCGGAGCGGUACCUAUUUAUCUACUUGCACUUUGACGUGCUUUCGAACUGCUAGGUUGGCAGGAGCAGGGACUGAGCAAUGGAAGCUCACCAUACUUGAGUCUAAUUAAUUCACACAGAGGUUAAUGCCAUAGAGUAAGCUACCUUGCCAGGCUCACUUCCCCUCACCUUGGGAGAAAAUGGCAGCAAAGCCUUUUGUUCUACUUAGUCCACAUCUUAAUUUGGUGCAUGCGGAGCUCUGAGCUGUUCCCUCCAGCCAUAUGGAUUUACCCAGUCUCUUUUGUUACAGACAAGAGUAUGAAACAACCUAUAUUUCCAUGCUUUUGUUUGCUGCAUGCUUUGCUGUGUUAAACCUCUGGUGGGGUUCUUGCACCAAAGAGUACUUCCCUAGCUCUGCUCACUGUUCCCAAUCCCCAUUCCUCAGCCUCAGCUACAUUCUUCUCCAGCUCUGGCUGCCUCUCCCUGCCAGCUCUCCCUUUCUCCUCUUAGUGUAGGCCCGGAUCCUUCUUUUAACUUGAGUGCAGAGAAGCUGCUUGUGAAGGACCAGCACAGUGCAGGAUUGGAUCAUUCUGCUUAACAGCUGUAAGCAAGGUGGUCUGAACCUGCACUGUGCAACUCCUCCACAAGCAGCUUCUCUACACAGCAAGAGAGAAUCUGAUCAUACUGUCCUACAUAUCACUGCCCAGGUCUGUGUGUGUGUGUGUGUGUGUGUGUGUGUGUGUGUGUGUAGGCAUUACCUGCCAAGGCUGUAGCAUUAGAAGCUCCUGCAUCCCUCCUUGCACCACUGCUCUGUAUUUGGUCCUGGACAAGAACAUGGCAUGUAAAGCAUGUGCCGUUGCAUGGACAGCAUUAUAGAGACUGUAGCUGUGGCCAGUUAUGCUCAUCUCAAAACCAGACGAUGGGAGAUCUUCCAGCUUUUCCUCUCCAGUGCAGGUUCCACUGGCCUGUUUCCCUGUAUUGGAGUUUGUAAAUAAACAGACAAAGGCUUGUGCCCAGAACUGCUUGAGAAAGCCAUUUCCAUUCACUUCAAAAGGAUUUUGUGCCUGAAGAAAAGCUUUGAAUCCUUGCACCACAUUUGAAUGAACUGUAAAGGAGAGGGAACCAUGAAAGACUUGCAUAUCCAUGCUCAUUUGAUAGGUCAUUGCUGUGAAAUCCAGCUGUGCUGUCAGAAUCCACACCUUGCCCACAGUUGUCUUGGUCACAUUUUCCAAUUCACCUAGUGCUACCAUUGAUCGCAAGAUAAGCAUAGACUUUGUUCCUCCAUAGACAACAACAACAUUGGCUUUACUUUCCAUAAUAACGUGAUAGAUUUGGAUCCAGUCAGAAUACAUGAUAUAAUACUCAGUCAAAUAUGUGGUUUUCAGGUUUGUGUCUGAGAAGGCCAAGCAUAUGCCUUUCUGGGAGAGCAGAGGUUUCAGGGCCUGAAUAAAUCUCUCUCCACUGUCAUUAUCUCCAGCAAGCAACCCAACCCAUGUCCAACCAAAGUGAAGAAAUAACUCAACAAUCCCAGUGUACUGAUGGGCUUCAUUGGGCACCAUCCUAUAGAAGGAAGUAGAUUGCCUUUGACUAGCAUCCUCUGGGGCAAAGGAGCCAUAAGUGAGCUAAAAGGAAAUAAAGGAGCAUAUUCAGUAAGAGUAGACAAGCUGUAUAUGUCCUUUGACGGCCUGCCAACACAGAAGGCCAGAUGAGCCAGUUGCCUCGGGAAGGCAGACUACAGAAAGCUGGGAGGAGUGGCAGAUCUGGCCUCCAUUAAGUCCACCCCAUGCUUGUUGACUACCUUCUCUGCCAUCCCUGCAUGCCCAGUUUCCUGCGCUGAAACCCCUGAAUGCCUGCUUUCCCCCCUCCUUAUAUUUCUUGAGCUUGAACGUCUUGCUUUUCUACUCUGCUGUUUUCCUCUCCUGCAUCAACCUUGCUUCACCACAGCAUUUCAGCUCCUCAUUGCAUGGUGUCUUAACUUCCCUUCCUUCCCACAUCUCUACCAAACCGCUAUUGCACAGAAUCUCGCUCAAGUGCCACAAUGCAUGGGCAGCUACCAGCUUUGCAGGCUCCCAGCUUUGCAGGAGAGCAGCUUCAGUCUCCAGUCAUUAAGGUAUGGGUCAAAGUUAAGAGAGACACUAGUUAGCAGAAUAUAAAGUGGAAGCGUGUUUUGGAGUGGUGAGGAAGCAGGGAUGAGUUAGUGCUCUCUCAUUAUCACAGUACCUUCUGUCCAUCCCAAUACUCUCUAUCUUUAUUUCACUCUCCCCUUCCUUCUCCAUUGCAUUUCACUGGAAACACUUUUUGUGGAGGGAAGGACUACUCUUUGUCAAUCACUAUUUUUCUACUAUACAAAACUUUUCUGGAUACAAAAUAUGAUGGUAAAUGAGUCUGAAGUCCCCAAGGUGGUAUCUUACCUGGGGGAUCUUGUAGAUGUCCAAGAUGUCUGCCAUUUGGAGGGAGGUAUCAAAGUCCAGUCCCCCAACAGCUGUCAUCAGAUGUUUCUGGGUGUCGCACUUGUAGUUAGGUAGAAGUGUGGAGGGAAGGUUCAGAGUGACCCGGUAGGUCAUCCUUUCAUUGAAGUAACUGUCAUAGAUGUGGAAUCCCAAUGUGUUAUUAGGCAAGAUCUUGGGGUUCUCAUUGAUCUCCUUGACAGCAAAGGCCAAGGCCAGAAUAUGCUGGUAGUUCUUUGGCACAACACUGCAAUGAGAAUUUCAUGCUGUAUACUAGGGAGCUACAUUAUGCAAUAUUCUUUUUUAAAAAUUAGGACCUCACGAGAAUUCUUCAAUGUCUUAUUGCAAAUUGUGCUUUAAGAUACAGGUAUCUGCAAAUCAAUUUCCUCUUAAAGGAUGCCAGAAUGGGUGUGGUACUAUUACUAUUACUAUUACUACCAUUACUACUAGUAUAUUGUUAACAAAUAGCUUAACCUUAGCUGUCCACUUUCUCUGGACUUUACCACCCACCGCCCUAUUUACUUCUCCCAAGUGACUGUUAACUGCAAUUUCUUCACUGAUCAGAACCUUGCACUGAUCACAAUCUGUUCUUGCCCAGACAUCCAGGGCUGUCUAUAAAUAUUAAACACAAUUCUCUCUUCCCCCCAUCACCAAGCAGCUUUCACCAAAGAUGCAUGCACCGCAUUAACAGCACAGGGUUUCAAACUUUGACAGUAACACACAAAUAUCAACAGAGACGAUGAAAAUAUUUUGAAAGCACAAAACAUAGACAUACAUUUAUCUACUGGUACUGAUCUGAUGCAACAAAAGACCUGCAUCAGAAUACAGAGAAGUAGGUAGCCUAGCUUAAUGGAUAACUUCUCAUCAUUUUCAGACCUGUGACAGGUCUCAUUGUUUUCAGACCUGUUAACUAGGAGUGUUAUUUGAGUCAAGCCUGACAUGGAUGCAAACACCUGGGGCUCUUAGAACUCCACAUUCUAAGAGGUGAGCUUUUAAGACCCCUCGCCCCAAACUUUCAGAGGUGAACUUCAAUAUUCAGAACAGAAAGACCUUUGCCUCUUAAACUAGGCAAGCUUAAGAUGUGUCUUCUUUUUAAACUAUUCUUGAAAGAAAUAUGGGGGGGGCAGAGAGCACAUCAGCAAAACAAGACUCUCUCAUCUCAGUGACACAUUCAGAUCCCCAUCUCUCUCUUCCCAAGCCAAGUCGAGCUUGCCCCUCCACCUCUGCCUGGAAGUAAAUAAGUGGAACUGGCUUCAAAGUAAGCAUGUUUAGCACUUGGCGAUGUUUUGGUAUCAUCUGAUUACAGAGUGGCUGGGGGGACUCAGCCAGAUGGGCGGGGUAUAAAUAAAUUAUUAUUAUUAUUAUUAUUAUUAUUAUUAUUAUUACUUGACAAAUGAAGUCUUUACAAGAUAUUAAGAAGUUGAUGGGUAGUUAGUCUUUCUUUGAAGUCUUCUUUGUCAAAAGCAGAAUGGAGGUGAGAAGCAAGUCCUCCAACAAUAAGAUCACCAGGUUGGUAGUAUUCAUGUGGAAUUCUGGACAGAUAAUGGAUGAUGCAACUCGUGGCAUGUUUGCACACCAUAAGUGGCAGAUAAAAGAGAAUGGGCACAAUAAAUAACAGCAUGCUGAGGCAAAUAUUAUUCCCUAUCAGACACCCUCAUUUCUAUCUAGAAAAUGAACCUUAGCUUCAGAACCAUCCUCCGUUCUAUAUUCUGUUUUGACAUGAACAACACUUCCCUACCAAUUCACAGAUUAAGAUCCUAUCCUACAACUCAACAGCAGAAAUCAUUCCUCUACCUCUGUGCUUUCCUAUGCUUAGAAUGGCAAGAAGGGUUUUUUAUACCCAUGUUUAGACUUUGGAUUGUAUUCUCUGCAAAUCUAUUGAGACAUUACCCAAGGGACACUUAGUAAUUACAAGAAUGAUUAUUACAGAUGAGAUUGUAACUAGCUCUCUUUACACCAGGAACAUCAGAAAAUGACAAAACAAAAACUUUCUCUUUAUGAGAGAACAGAAGGACAUUCAGGACGAGGAAGAAAACAACAGUGAGCCAAUCUGUUAUCCUGAAAUGCUUCAUCUGAUUAAUCUAAUCUCCUAAAAUUUCAUACCUGAACACUAGUUCAUUAGUUUACUGACAAUUAUACCAAGACAGAUUAAAGAAUGAUGAAAGGUGGCUUGUGUUUGUUUUAAGCUUUUAGAAGUUUAAAAUAUAUCCUCUGGAGUCCAAAACAUCCCUCUUCCCCCAGCAUAGAAAAAGGACACACAUCAUCCAGAAAACACAGGCAGUAAAACUUGGCUUAGUUACAGUGGAGGAAGUUCCAUAUUAUUGGUACAGGAAUAUAUGAGAGACUUGCUAGAGUCAUGCGGUCUGUGCUUGGAUGAACCAGCACAGAUCUCACAUGUUCUGCUUCUUAGGUAGAGCGAUUGCCUAGUCACUCCUAAGGCGAGCUAAGCCUGGCACAACAGCUUACUCUGUGGUCUUAACCCCAUCAUGCAUUAACUCAGUCAGAAGCAUGUUGGUUAGAUGAGACUGGUUCCAUGAGACUAGUUGGAAGAGCAGGCUUAAAUGUGGGAGGUGGCCUUGGAGAUAUUCCAGUAAAUGGUGGAGACCAUGUUUUCGUUUUGACUGGUUUCAAUUGACUUGGAAUCAGCUGAGCUAUGUCCUGCUUUUGUAGGAGAAAAUGGAAAUAGCUUGGCUUUUUCUGAGCCAAUGGAGACUGAGAUUGGGAGGAUUUUCUCCACAAGAUGGAUCACAGGUCUGCUUGUGUAUUUUAGGGACCCCCUUUUUGAAGCCUGCUGAAGGUAUCAUAUAAGGGGGAGAAAUAAAUAUUUGAUGGACUGCUAGGGAUGGGGGAGACAUUCAGUUCAGUUCCUGUUUAAAAUGGAAACAAUCAUGUUUGUUCUUUCUGAAUAUCAGAAGCAAACAAAUAGUGCAUAGUGAAAACAACAUUACCACACAGCUUGCAAAAAUGCCAACCCUGCAUAGAAAAAUGUGUUUAUUGAAGAACUACCGACAAAAGAGGAAUGGCAGAUGAAAUUGAUGGACUACGCAGAAUUGGAUAAGAUGACAGGGAGAAUUCGAAACCAGCGGGACCAGAAAUUCUUGAAAGACGAGUAAAUAUAUAAGUUAUUUGAAAGACAAUUGUAACCAACUGACUACGCUUGUAGGACUACAAGAAGUUUUGUAAGGAGACCUAUAUGAAAUAUGCAGAAAAGAUUUAUGAGAAUGGAUUUUAAGUUAUGGGUUAUUAAAAGGAAUAGGUAGGAUAAUAAAUGUAAGAUUAAGAGAUGAGGUUGGAAAAUCAUUAGACGCGGUUGAUGGGAGUCUCAGGCUAAAAUUGCCAAAAUGUUGUAUAAGAUGAGAUGA